rnacentral:misc_RNA from 1 species
UACGGAGACCUCAAGCGUUAUCCGGAUUUAUUGGGCGUAAAGCGUCCGCAGGUGGUUUGUUAAGUCGAUGGUUAAAUCACAGGGCUCAACUCUGUGGCCGACAUCGAUACUGGCGAACUUGAGGAUGGGAGAGGCAAGCGGAAUUGCAGGUGUAGGGGUAAAAUCCGUUUAUAUCUGCAAGAACACCAAAGGCGAAGGCAGCUUGCUGGAACAUUCCUGACACUCAUGGACGACAGCGUGGGGAGCGAAAAGG